CGGCCAGUAGUCUGUCGGGCCGAGGCAGCUGAGGGGACUCCUGCCUCACCCUGAAGGAGGAGGAGGAGGAGGAGGAGGAGUACAAGAUCUGCAGAAGUAGGACAACAUGCAGCGAAAAGUUAGUAAAGAGGAAGAGGUGCUGGAGGCGGAGGAGGAGGAGGAGGAGGAGGAGGUGGAGGAGGAAGAAGAGGAAGAUUAUGUUGUUUCUCCUGGAGGUGCUGCUGCAGGAGGGAUACGUAAGAGGAAAGUUAAGAAGAAUGGAGGGAAGAAGGGAGAGAAGAUGAAGAUGAAGAAGAUGGAGUGUUGGAAGUGACGGGAAGCGAAGAAGACAAGAAAGAAGAAAGGAAGAGAAAAUAAUGAAAAAAAGUGAAGAAUAGAAUGAAAAAUGAAUUAAUUUGACAAACCACAAGAAGACCUCUAAAAAUAAUAGAAAACGAAGAAGAGAAGAAGAAAGGAAGAAUAAGGAAGAGGAAAAACUCGCAAGAAACUGAACGGAAGCAAGUCUCAACCAGCAAACUUUCGAAGAUAAGGAGAGAAGAAGAGAAGAUCAGAAGAAAAAGAGGAAUAAGAGGAGUCUGAAGAGAAAUCCAGAGGAGUGUUUGAAGAUGUAAAAGGUGGAGAGGUGAGAGAAACCAGAUCACUACCACCUCCUCCUCCUCCUCCUCCUCCUCCUCCUCUUCGUCGUAACCAAGGAAGGAAACCAUCUCCAUUAAUUCAACCACCACCACCACUACCACCACCACCACCACCCUCUCCUCCUCCUCCUCCUCCUCUUCCUCCUCCUCCUCCUGCUCUUGUAAACUACAUACUAAAAACAAAAACGGAUGUGCUGGGAGAAAGAGAGAGAAAGAUAAAUGUGAGGAAGAAAGAAGACAACAAAAAGUACAAAAGAAGAAAUGACACUUUAAAGAAGAAGAAGAAGGAGAAGAAGAAGAAGAAGAAAAGAGACAACAGAAGAAGAGAUAAAUAAGAACCAUGCCAAAAGAAGAACGGAAUGACAACAACAACAACAACAACAACAACAACAACAAUGCAACGGAACUCAGAAAACGGAAGAGGGAUGGUUGGCUGGAAAUACCGUCACGGCUUCGUCAGACUCAACAGCUAAGAAUAAAAAGAAAAAGAUGAAAACAAAUAUAAAGAAAAAAUAUAUUCAUCAACUACUCUGUAUUCAUAAUAUUAACUACAAAAAUGGACCUACUAACUUAUGUAUAACCACCUGUAUUUCUGUAUGUAUGCAAGAAGUAAGUAUUAUUCAUUUAUUUAAAAGUACUAUGUUUUACGCAGUCCAAUUUUCAUGUAUAUACUAUUCAAUUACUAAAAAGAAGUACUUGUUUGUUCUAUACUAUCUGGUCAUGAUAUAUACAAAAAUAUGUUGUAUUAAUUCAUUUAGAAAUAUGUAUUUACUCUACACUCCCUCCAUCUUUUAUGUAUACAAACCUUGCUAACUUUAAAAAUAUAGGUAUGAUUUAAUUCCGCACUCCUUCACUUUUUAUAUAUACACACACUACGUAUACAUCACCAACCCGUUUAAAAGUAUGUACUCACUUGGCACAUCGCAUACAAACACUGAUCCAUUUAAGAAGAAUGUAUUAAUCCCACACUUUAAAGUUUCACGGAUACGAACCUAAACCUAUUUAAAAAGAAAAAUCAAGUAUCUGUUUGUUACACUCCCAAACUUUCUUCCUUAUACAAACACAUUCAUUGAAAAAGAGUAUGAUAUUAACUCCACAUUGUUUACAUUUCACUCAUACAAACACAAAUUAAAAUAAGAAAAAAAAUGCGCAUCUAUUCACAUACACUAAUGAAUUAAAAAUGUACAUAUCUAUUCCACAUUCUUUUCGUGUAUAGAGGAGAAGCUUUUGAUUGCAUGGACCAAGUAAGGCAGGUGUUCCUUAUUGCUUCUCCCACCUGUGUUGUGACCCCUGAGUGUUGUUUGUGUUUGUGUUGCCUGUCUGUGUAAUGAAGGCCCCAACAAGGCAGCUUCAGGCUUUAUAAUUUUUUGAGUUAUAUAUGAAGUACACUUGCCCAAAGGAGUGAUGUCAUAAGUGCACGGAAAAAAAAGUAGAAAACAAAGAAAAAAGCAAUAUCAGAAUUGUUUAAUUUUUGAAAGAGUGACAUUUUCUUUUUGUUUUAUGAUUUGUGUUUCGCUUUUCCUCUGCAUACCUAACGCAGAUUAAGAAGUAAUAGAAGAAAAUGGAGGAAAAUGGAGAAGAGGAAGAAGAAAAAAAAAUGGUAUCUGAAUUAUUUUUAUUUUUGAAAGAGUAGCAUUUUCUUUCUGUCUUAUAAUUUAUUUCGCUUUUUUCUCUGCAUACCUGACGUAGAUUUAGAAGAAAAAUAGAAGGUAAAGGAAAAGAGGAAGAAGAAGAAAAAGAAAAAAAAAGUAUCAGAUUUAUUUGACUUUUGUAGUGGCAUUUUCAUUCUGUUUUAUAAUAAACCCAUGUUUCGCUUUUCCUCUGCAUACCCAAAGCAGAUUAAGAAGUAAUAGAAGAAAAAGGAAAAGAGGAAGAAGAAAAAAAUAGUAUCUGAAUUAUUUUCUUUUUGAAGGAGUAACAUUUUCUUUAUAACCCAUGUUUCGCUUUUCCUCUAUAUACCUGACGAAAAUGAAAAAG
rnacentral:lncRNA from 1 species